UACGGGGGGGGCAAGCGUUGUUCGGAAUUACUGGGCGUAAAGCGCGUGUAGGCGGCUCGAUAAGUCGGAUGUGAAAGCCCCUGGGCUCAACCUAGGAAGUGCAUUCGAAACUGCCGAGCUUGAGUUCUGGAGAGGAAGGGCGGAAUUCUCGGUGUAGAGGUGAAAAUUCGUAGAUAUCGAGAGGAACACCGGUGGCGAAGGCGGCCUUCUGGGACAGCCAACUG
rnacentral:rRNA from 1 species